rnacentral:rRNA from 1 species
UACGGAAGGCAGCAGGGGGAAUAUUGCACAAUGGGCGCAAGCCUGAUGCAGCCAUGCCGCGUGUAUGAAGAAGGCCUUCGGGUUGUAAAGUACUUUCAGUCGUGAGGAAGGUGUUAAGGUUAAUAACCCUAGCAAUUGACGUUAGCGACAGAAGAAGCACCGGCUAACUCCGUGCCAGCAGCCGCGGUAAUACGGAGGGUGCGAGCGUUAAUCGGAAUUACUGGGCGUAAAGGGCACGCAAGCGGUUAAUUAAGUUGGAUGUGAAAUCCCCGGGCUUAACCUGGGAAUGGCAUUCAAGACUGGUUAGCUAGAGUCUUGUAGAGGGGGGUAGAAUUCCAUGUGUAGCGGUGAAAUGCGUAGAGAUGUGGAGGAAUACCGGUGGCGAAGGCGGCCCCUGGGACAAAGACUGACGCUCAUGUGCGAAAGCGUGGGGAGCAAACAGGGAUUAGAUACC